rnacentral:rRNA from 1 species
AACGAACGCUGGCGGCAUGCCUAACGCAUGCAAGUCGAACGAGAUCUUCGGGUCUAGUGGCGCACGGGUGCGUAACGCGUGGGAAUCUGCCCUUUGGUUCGGAAUAACAGUUGGAAACGACUGCUAAUACCGGAUGAUGACGAAAGUCCAAAGAUUUAUCGCCAGAGGAUGAGCCCGCGUAGGAUUAGCUAGUUGGUGUGGUAAAGGCGCACCAAGGCGACGAUCCUUAGCUGGUCUGAGAGGAUGAUCAGCCACACUGGGACUGAGACACGGCCCAGACUCCUACGGGAGGCAGCAGUGGGGAAUAUUGGACAAUGGGCGAAGGCCUGAUCCAGCAAUGCCGCGUGAGUGAUGAAGGCCUUAGGGUUGUAAAGCUCUUUUACCCGGGAUGAUUAUGACAGUACCGGGAGAAUAAGCCCCGGCUAACUCCGUGCCAGCCGCCGCCGUAA